rnacentral:lncRNA from 1 species
CAAGGAUCGUUGUCUUGUCUGUCUCUUUGUGUGUGUGAUUGCCAUUGUGCCAGCCUAAACCUCUAGCUCUGCGAGAACCUGGGAAAACACUUCCAGUUAGGGAAGUGGNUGCAAUUUUGCAUGCAACAAUUGGCGAGCCAGGCAAGAGCACUUUGCGGCACCCAGCUUGAGUUUGUCAGACGCUCCUAGGGACGCACAGCCAGCUAUCAAGGGUACCCUGAAUCCUCAGCACUUUCUUA